rnacentral:rRNA from 1 species
AAAAAAAAUAGUUUUAAUAUUAAAAUAAUUUAAUGGGGGUUAAAGUAUUUUAAUUGAAAAAAUUAUUAAUUUUAUAGUAUAUUAGUAUUGUGAGAGAAUUUUGAAAUAUUUUAAAUAUAAAUUAUUUAUAAAGUAAAUUUAAUUUAUUGUAUCUUGUGUAUCAGAGUUUAUUAAAUUUUUUUAGGGUAAAAAUUUAAAUUUCUCGAAUUUAAAAGAGAUAAUUAAUUAAUAAAGUUAUUGUUGCAAAAAUAUUUUUAAUAAUUAAUUUGAAAUGAGAUGUUAAUCGUUUUUAAAUAUAUCUAGUUUUUUUAGAAAAAAAUUUAAUUUUAAAUUUUAUAGUUAAAUAAUAAUAAUUUAAUUAAUUAUUUUUUAUAUAAAAUUUUAUAUUUUAAGGGAUAAGCUUUAAAUUAAAUUUAUAUAAUAUUAGAUAUUUUAAAAUAUUUUUGAAAAUUUUAUAAUUUAAAUUGUUAAUAAAUUUUAUUUUAUUAUAAAUAAUUUCAUUUAAAUAUAAAAUUUAAUUUUUAUUUAUAUUUUUAUAAAAAAAUAAAUUAAAUUUAAAAAAAUUUAGUUAUAAUGAUAAAAUUAGUAUAUAAUUAAAAUUAGUAAUUUUAUUUUUUUUUUUAAUUAAUAAAUAGGAAUUCGGCAAAUUUUAAUAUUCACUUGUUUAUCAAAAACAUGUCUUUUUGAUUUAUAAUUUAAAGUCUAAUCUGCCCACUGAUUUUUAAUUAAAGGGCUGCAGUAUUUUGACUGUACAAAGGUAGCAUAAUCAUUAGUCAUUUAAUUGAUGACUUGUAUGAAAGAUUGGAUGAAAUAUUGACUGUCUUUUUAUUAAUUUAUAUAAUUUAAUUUUUCAAUUAAAAAGUUGAAAUAAUUUAAAAAGACGAGAAGACCCUAUAGAGUUUUAUAAAAUAUUAAAUUAAUAUUAUUUUUAAGAUUAAUAUAAAAAUUUAUUUUUUUAUUUUGUUGGGGUGAUAUAAAAAUAUAAUUAACUUUUUAUUUUCGUUUAACAUAAAUAAGUGAUUAUUUGAUCCAAUAAUAUUGAUUAAAAGAAAAAAUUACCUUAGGGAUAACAGCGUAAUUUUUUUUUUUAGUUCAAAUAAGAAAAAGAGUUUGCGACCUCGAUGUUGGAUUAAGAUAAAUUUUAAAUGUAGAAGUUUAAAAAUUUGAUCUGUUCGAUCAUUAAAAUCUUACAUGAUCUGAGUUCAAACCGGUGUGAGCCAGGUUGGUUUCUAUCUUUUAAAAAAUAAUAUAUUUUAGUACGAAAGGAAUAAAUAUUAAAAUUAAAUUUAUUUUAAGAAUCUUAAUAAUU